AUGUAUGCAGGUGACUGGUACUAAUAGGCCGAGGACUUACCACAAAGAAGCUACGCGUCCACUGUGCGGUAUCUGAAACAACACACAGAUACCUUGAAUUCGAUUCCCCAUCAUUCACCGACAUUCUUGUCGGUGGGUGUGUGGAGGAUCUGGUUCACGGUUAGUUACUGUGACAGUUUCAUAGAGUUACGGCGGUCAUAGCGAAGGGGAAACGCCCGGUCCCAUUCCGAACCCGGAAGCUAAGCCCUUCAGCGCCGAUGGUACUGCACUCGACAGGGUGUGGGAGAGUAGGACACCGCCGAAC
rnacentral:rRNA from 1 species